rnacentral:rRNA from 1 species
UACACUCCUGCGGGAGGCAGCAGUGGGGAAUAUUGCACAAUGGGCGCAAGCCUGAUGCAGCCAUGCCGCGUGUAUGAAGAAGGCCUUCGGGUUGUAAAGUACUUUCAGCGGGGAGGAAGGCAAUACGGUUAAUAACCGUGUUGAUUGACGUUACCCGCAGAAGAAGCACCGGCUAACUCCGUGCCAGCAGCCGCGGUAAUACGGAGGGUGCAAGCGUUAAUCGGAAUUACUGGGCGUAAAGCGCACGCAGGCGGUCUGUCAAGUCGGAUGUGAAAUCCCCGGGCUCAACCUGGGAACUGCAUUCGAAACUGGCAGGCUUGAGUCUUGUAGAGGGGGGUAGAAUUCCAGGUGUAGCGGUGAAAUGCGGAGAGAUCUGGAGGAAUACCGGUGGCGAAGGCGGCCCCCUGGACAAAGACUGACGCUCAGGUGCGAAAGCGUGGGGAGCAAACAGGAUUAGAAACCCGAGUAGUCCCA